AGCCUUCCCCAAUUGUAAAUUUGCUGAAAAAUGUUUGUUUGUUCACCCAAAUUGUAAAUAUGAUGCGAAGUGUACUAAACCAGAUUGUCCCUUCACUCACGUGAGUAGAAGAAUUCCAGUACUGUCUCCAAAACCAGUUGCACCACCAGCACCACCUUCCAGUAGUCAGCUCUGCCGUUACUUCCCUGCUUGUAAGAAGAUGGAAUGUCCCUUCUAUCAUCCAAAACAUUGUAGGUUUAACACUCAGUGUACAAGACCGGACUGCACAUUCUACCAUCCCACCAUUAAUGUCCCACCACGACAUGCCUUGAAAUGGAUUCGACCUCAAACCAGCGAAUAGCACCCAGUCCUGCCUGGCAGAAGAUCAUGCAGUUUGGAAGUUUCCAUGUACUGAUGAAAGACACUCUACAGAACUUGUCAAAUCUUUGAAACUUGGAAUAUAUUGCUUUCAUAAUAUGAAGUUUUAUUGCCU
rnacentral:sRNA from 1 species